rnacentral:misc_RNA from 1 species
GAUGAAGAAACGUAGCGAAAUGCGAUAAGUAAUGUGAAUUGCAGAAUUCAGUGAAUCAUCGAAUCUUUGAACGCACAUUGCGCCCGCCAGUAUUCUGGCGGGCAUGCCUGUCUGAGCGUCAUUUCAACCCUCAUGCCCCUAGGGCGUGGUGUUGGGGAUCGGCCAAAGCCCGCGAGGGACGGCCGGCCCCUAAAUCUAGUGGCGGACCCGUCGUGGCCUCCUCUGCGAAGUAGUGAUAUUCCGCAUCGGAGAGCGAUGAGCCCCUGCCGUUAAACCCCCAACUUUCCAAGGUUGACCUCAGAUCAGGUAGGAAUACCCGCUGAACUUAAGCAUAUCAAUAAGCGGAGGA